AACGAACGCUGGCGGCAUGCCUAACACAUGCAAGUCGAACGAGAUCUUCGGGUCUAGUGGCGCACGGGUGCGUAACGCGUGGGAAUCGGCCCUUUGGUUCGGAAUAACAGUUGGAAACGACUGCUAAUACCGGAUGAUGACGAAAGUCCAAAGAUUUAUCGCCAGAGGAUGAGCCCGCGUAGGAUUAGCUAGUUGGUGUGGUAAAGGCGCACCAAGGCGACGAUCCUUAGCUGGUCUGAGAGGAUGAUCAGCCACACUGGGGCUGAGACACGGCCCAGACUCCUACGGGAGGCAGCAGUGGGGAAUAUUGGACAAUGGGCGAAAGCCUGAUCCAGCAAUGCCGCGUGAGUGAUGAAGGCCUUAGGGUUGUAAAGCUCUUUUACCCGGGAUGAUAAUGGCAGUACCGGGAGAAUAAGCUCCGGCUAACUCCGUGCCAGCAGCCGCGGUAA
rnacentral:rRNA from 1 species